AGCAUGUGGUUAAUUCGAAGCAACGCGAAGAACCUUACCAGGUCUUGACAUCCCUGACAACCCGAGAGAUCGGGCGUUCCCCCUUCGGGGGACAGGGUGACAGGUGGUGCAUGGUUGUCGUCAGCUCGUGUCGUGAGAUGUUGGGUUAAGUCCCGCAACGAGCGCAACCCUCGACCUUAGUUGCCAGCAUUCAGUUGGGCACUCUAAGGUGACUGCCGGCUAAAAGUCGGAGGAAGGUGGGGAUGACGUCAAAUCAUCAUGCCCCUUAUGACCUGGGCUACACACGUGCUACAAUGGGCGGUACAAAGGGUCGCGAACCCGCGAGGGGGAGCCAAUCCAGCAAAACUUCCCUCAGUUCAGAUUGCAGGCUGCAACCCGCCUGCAUGAAGUUGGAGUUGCUAGUAAACGCAGGUCAGCCAUACUGCGUUGAAUACGUUCCCGGGGCUU
rnacentral:rRNA from 1 species